AGCAGCCGCGGUAAUUCCAGCUCCAAUAGCGUAUAUUAAAGUUGUUGCAGUUAAAAGCUCGUAGUUGAAUUUCGGGAUCAAGGAAUCGGUCAUGCCUUGGUAUGUACUGGUUUUAUUGGUUCUCACCUUCUAAAGAACCAUGAUGUCAUUCAUUUGAUGUUAUGGGGAAUUAGGACUGUUACCUUGAAAAAAUUAGAGUGUUUAAAGCAAGCUUACGCUUGAAUACAUUAGCAUGGAAUAAUGAAAUAGGACGUUUGACCCUAUUUUGUUGGUUUCUAGGAUCGACGUAAUGAUUAAUAGGGAUAGUUGGGGGCAUUAGUAUUCAACUGUCAGAGGUGAAAUUCUUGGAUUUAUUGAAGACUAACUACUGCGAAAGCAUUUGCCAAGGAUGUUUUCAUUAAUCAAGAACGAAGGUUAGGGGAUCGAAGACGAUCAGAUACCGUCGUAGUCUUAACCAUAAACUAUGCCGACUAGGGAUCGGAUGAUGUUAAUUUUUUAAUGACUCAUUCGGCGCCUUACG
rnacentral:misc_RNA from 1 species